rnacentral:rRNA from 1 species
GAUGAACGCUGGCGGCGUGCCUAAUACAUGCAAGUCGAGCGAACAGACGAGGAGCUUGCUCCUCUGACGUUAGCGGCGGACGGGUGAGUAACACGUGGAUAACCUACCUAUAAGACUGGGAUAACUUCGGGAAACCGGAGCUAAUACCGGAUAAUAUAUUGAACCGCAUGGUUCAAUAGUGAAAGACGGUUUUGCUGUCACUUAUAGAUGGAUCCGCGCCGCAUUAGCUAGUUAGUAAGGUAACGGCUUACCAAGGCGACGAUGCGUAGCCGACCUGAGAGGGUGAUCGGCCACACUGGAACUGAGACACGGUCCAGACUCCUACGGGAGGCAGCAGUAGGGAAUCUUCCGCAAUGGGCGAAAGCCUGACGGAGCAACGCCGCGUGAGUGAUGAAGGUCUUCGGAUCGUAAAACUCUGUUAUUAGGCAAGAACAAAUGUGUAAGUAACUAUGCACGUCUUGACGGUACCUAAUCAGAAAGCCACGGCUAACUACGUG